UCGCACACUCACCGCCACCGCCUGGCCUACCUCUCCCCUUUCCUUGCUAUCCUGUCUUCACUGUCCCCAUCCUGGAGGCACGGCAAUGGAGGUCGUCUUCUCCCACGGCCAUCCUCCGCCGCAAUCUGCUGGCCGGGUCUGACGGCGACACAACAUCGGCGGGCUGCACGCCGAAGGUGCCGAGGGGGACCCCGGCGCCGAGCUCUCAUCCAUGAUACCACGGGUGUUGUUGCUCUUGCGCAUUAGCUCUCUACACUGCAGGACUGUGGAGGAGAGCUGACGCCGACGCUCGGUUCCUCCUCGCCGUCGUACGUCGCCGGUUAAGAUGGAGAUGAAAUCGACGGCGGUCUUCACCUAGCUCAUCCACCGCUGUAGCCGCACCUCCAGGUAAUUUGGGAACUUCUGCUGCUAUAGAUGACAGUAGGAAUGUAGGAUCCACCGAAUGGAUCAGAAGCGAGAAGAUUGAUAAGGCAUUCUGAGAUGGUAAUAAGAAUAUCUGAUGCUUAAAUAGAUGUACUGCUCCUGACUUAGAUUGUUCCAUUUACAAACCACAGUAAAAUGAUACACAAUCAUAUAAUAUUCAUGGCACCACUUUUUCCCAUUCAGAUUUGAGUUACAGGCUACUGUAUUUUUGCCUUAGGUUCCAGUUUCACGUUAAUCUUACCAAGCAACUCCUGUUCAACAAGAUAAGAUUGGAAACAAUAUAGCCUUUCUGAAAAAUUCUCCAUGCAAACUCCUUGCAAGGAUUUUGUCAUUAAUUUCGUCAAUUUUUUGUGAUACAGCAUUACUCAUAUCUUAAAUUCGUAGUUGCUAAAAAUAUUGAUUGUUCUCUUGCAUCAUCAUACUUUAAGGUUCAUCUUACAAUAAUAUAGCAAAAAUAAACUUAAAAAGACAUAUCCACGCACCUCUACAGGUAUGGUAACACCCCAAAGCAUAAAUGUCAAAGUAUGCACAUAAUGUAUUAACAUAUACUUUUGUGGUUGCAAGAUGUGACUCUGUGGCUUCACUUUUGAGUUCUGCAUUGUAAGCUCUGCUUCUGUCAGAGUGCUCUCAGAGAAAUAGGUGAUGAAAAAGGACAUUUCAACUUUUUUUGAGACCGAAGAUAGUUGCAUGAUGGCCUGUGUUCUCUAAACAAAGCAGCUAUCACGGCUAAAUUGGAAUUUGGGCACGAGAGCAGCUAGCGACGUAAAUUAUUUGUUAUUUAACCAUCUAAAUGCAAAUGUCAUGUGUUACGCUGCAACAUUAAGCUUUUUCAUAUAGGCAAGUCGGUGGACGGUGGAUUUCAUCCAUUCACUGCAACCACAACAGAACAACGCUACUACUGAAAGAGAACUGGCAAGAACAGCAGACGCAGGCGCGGCGAAGCGCGCCAUUCUUCCUAGUCUAUAAUCCCAGACGGAAGAUUUUGGAGCCGGCUAGGUUGAGUAGAUUGUAGUCGGCUGCCGGGGUCUGGGUUCGCGGCGGCGGCGGCGAGGCUGGACGCCGUCCGGUUGUCGGGCGUCCAGGACGUGAGAGGGCAAAAUAAAGCUGAGCUGGAUUGCUCAUACUUUGUUGUCUAUUGGAAGAAUUGUUUAUUUGUGUGAAUGAGAAAGUUCAGCUCACUUAAUUUUGCAUAUGGGUUAAGCAGUGCAGCGGACAAA